rnacentral:rRNA from 1 species
UGUUUCGGCUAGGGGGCCAUCCCGGCUUACCAACCCGAUGCAAACUGCGAAUACCGGAGAAUGUUAUCACGGGAGACACACGGCGGGUGCUAACGUCCGUCGUGAAGAGGGAAACAACCCAGACCGCCAGCUAAGGUCCCAAAGUCAUGGUUAAGUGGGAAACGAUGUGGGAAGGCCCAGACAGCCAGGAUGUUGGCUUAGAAGCAGCCAUCAUUUAAAGAAAGCGUAAUAGCUCACUGGUCGAGUCGGCCUGCGCGGAAGAUGUAACGGGGCUAAACCAUGCACCGAAGCUGCGGCAGCGAACGUAUCACCCAAGACAACUUUACGGAGUUGACGAUUGACGGAGCGAAGCGACGUCAAAGCGUUCAUUAAAGUCGAGUUGGCUUAGGGAUACGUUCGUUGGGUAGGGGAGCGUUCUGUAAGCCUG